rnacentral:rRNA from 1 species
GAUGAACGCUGGCGGCGUGCCUAAUACAUGCAAGUCGAGCGAACGGACGAGAAGCUUGCUUCUCUGAUGUUAGCGGCGGACGGGUGAGUAACACGUGGAUAACCUACCUAUAAGACUGGGAUAACUUCGGGAAACCGGAGCUAAUACCGGAUAAUAUUUUGAACCGCAUGGUUCAAAAGUGAAAGACGGUCUUGCUGUCACUUAUAGAUGGAUCCGCGCUGCAUUAGCUAGUUGGUAAGGUAACGGCUUACCAAGGCAACGAUGCAUAGCCGACCUGAGAGGGUGAUCGGCCACACUGGAACUGAGACACGGCCCGGACUCCUACGGGAGGCAGCAGUAGGGAAUCUUCCGCAAUGGGCGAAAGCCUGACGGAGCAACGCCGCGUGAGUGAUGAAGGUCUUCGGAUCGUAAAACUCUGUUAUUAGGGAAGAACAUAUGUGUAAGUAACUGUGCACAUCUUGACGGUACCUAAUCAGAAAGCCACGGCUAACUACGUG